AUUGAACGCUGGCGGCAGGCUUAACACAUGCAAGUCGAGCGGAGCGAGGGUGCUUGCACCUUAGCUUAGCGGCGGACGGGUGAGUAAUGCUUAGGAAUCUGCCUAUUAGUGGGGGACAACAUUCCGAAAGGGAUGCUAAUACCGCAUACGCCCUACGGGGGAAAGCAGGGGAUCUUCGGACCUUGCGCUAAUAGAUGAGCCUAAGUCGGAUUAGCUAGUGUGGUGGGGUAAAGGCCUACCAAGGCGACGAUCUGUAGCGGGUCUGAGAGGAUGAUCCGCCACACGGGGGAUGAGACACGGCCCAGACUCCUACGGGAGGCAGCAGUGGGGAAUAUUGGACAAUGGGGGGAACCCUGAUCCAGCCAUGCCGCGUGUGUGAAGAAGGCCUUUUGGUUGUAAAGCACUUUAAGCGAGGAGGAGGCGCUCUAGGUUAAUACCCUAGAUGCGUGGACGUUACUCGCAGAAUAAGCACCGGCUAACUCUGUGCCAGCAGCCGCGGUAAGAC
rnacentral:rRNA from 1 species